GGAAGCAAGGCGGCAGUCGCCUCAAAAAGUUUGUAUUUGCUUUUGUGAAUACAACUAUUUAUGGGGAGGAAAGUCCGAACUUCACAGGGCAGAGUGCCGGAUAACGUCCGGUGUUUCGAAUAUAAUGUUCGAAAUAAGGAAAGUGCCACAGAAAAAAUACCGCCAUGUGUGUGAUCGUUAAGGGGCAAAACCUCGUAGCAAAGCGCAUGUGGUAAGGGUGAAAAGGCGAGGUAAGAGCUCACCGCUUUAAGCAGUAAUGCUUGUAGGCAUGGUAAACCCCACUCGAAGAAAGAUCAAGCAGAGGUUAUAAAACGGCCCGUUUUACCUCGGGUGGAUCGCUGGAGAUUUCGGGUAACCGUAAUCCUAGAUUAAUGACUGCAUAAAACAGAAUUCGGCUUAUGUCUUGCUUCCAAAU
rnacentral:RNase_P_RNA from 1 species